rnacentral:rRNA from 1 species
GCGGCGUGCCUAAUACAUGCAAGCCGAGCGAACAGACGAGGAGCUUGCUUCUCUGGAUGAGUUGCGAACGGGUGAGUAACGCGUAGGUAACCUGCCUGGUAGCGGGGGAUAACUAUUGGAAACGAUAGCUAAUACCACAUAAGAGUAGAUGUUGCAUGACAUUUGCUUAAAAGGUGCAAAUGCAUCACUACCAGAUGGACCUGCGUUGUAUUAGCUAGUUGGUGGGGUAACGGCUCACCAAGGCGACGAUACAUAGCCGACCUGAGGGGGUGAUCGGCCACACUGGGACUGAGACACGGCCCAGACUCCUACGGGAGGCAGCAGUAGGGAAUCUUCGGCAAUGGACGGAAGUCUGACCGAGCAACGCCGCGUGAGUGAAGAAGGUUUUCGGAUCGUAAAGCUCUGUUGUAAGAGAAGAACGAGUGUGAGAGUGGAAAGUUCACACUGUGACGGUACCUUACCAGAAAGGGACGGCUAACUACGUGCCAGCAGCCGCGGUAAUACGUAGGUCCCGAGCGUUGUCCGGAUUUAUUGGGCGUAAAGCGAGCGCAGGCGGUUAGAUAAGUCUGAAGUUAAAGGCUGUGGCUUAACCAUAGUAGGCUUUGGAAACUGUUUAACUUGAGUGCAAGAGGGGAGAGUGGAAUUCCAUGUGUAGCGGUGAAAUGCGUAGAUAUAUGGAGGAACACCGGUGGCGAAAGCGGCUCUCUGGCUUGUAACUGACGCUGAGGCUCGAAAGCGUGGGGAGCA